UGGACCCUCUGCGCUCGCUGUUUACAGACUGCGUACUUUCCAGAAGACCACACUGGAGGCAUGUUAGCCCAAGGUCUGAGAGAUACACUGGAGUCAUGGGGAUUGCAAGAAUGCCACCUUGUCUGUGUCACCACGGAUAACGCCACUAACAACAUCUCUGCAAUGGAACUGAACCAGUGGGAACGGCUACAAUGCUUUGGUCACCGCCUACAGCUAGCCAUUGAGAAUGCUCU